rnacentral:sRNA from 1 species
AAGGAAAAUAUUGGAAGCAAAGAAUGACGAGAGGAGCAGUAAUGGGCAGAUUGAAUAAAUUGUCAGGGUGAGAAUCACAGUGCAGUUCUCCUCUGGCAUGGAGGGCAAGAGGAGCUGAAUAGCUAAUGGAUGAUAAACUGCUAGCCUUUCCCUGCCAAAGGAGAGCUGCCCUGCCAUUCAGUGACCCUGAAUUCAGCAUGCGAGCUUCAAGCUGUGUGUUCUGUUUUCAGUAGAAUGUUGUGAAGCACACUGCAUGAGGUAUGUGAUCAUGACUCUGUUUUUCAUAUUCUUUGAGCAUCAUCCAUGGGUGAGGCCAUAACAACCUCCUGUUUUAAUAGUUUAUAGUUCAUGAAACUAAUAG